UACGUAGGGUCCGAGCGUUGUCCGGAGUUACUGGGCGUAAAGCGCGCGCAGGCGGCGGUGUUGGCCCGGCGUGAAAGCCCCCGGCUCAACUGGGGAGGGUCACGCGAUACUGAUCGACUCGAAGGCAGGAGAGGGUAGUGGAAUUCCCGGUGUAGUGGUGAAAUGCGUAGAUAUCUGGAGGAAUACCGGUGGCGAAGGCGGCAUCCUGGACCGGCAUUGACGCUGAGGAGCGAAAGCUAGGGGAGCAAACGGGGAUUAAGAUACCCUGAGU
rnacentral:rRNA from 1 species